rnacentral:lncRNA from 1 species
CUCGGAGCUUUGCUGAAACUGCACAAAAAAUCGAGCUGGGGGGUUCCCUGGUCCCCGAUGUUGGGGCGGAGAGCGCGGCGCCGAGGGAGGGGGCGGCGCAGACCGGCCUAGGGGACACCUGGUCGAGCGCAGCCGCCGCUCCGCUCGAGCCCUGCGCUCCAGUGCCCCCACUGGCUGGAGAGCUCGCCCAGACCGGGGGUCUUCCUCCGUCGCUGACAGAUUUUAACCAUUAGAAGAAUACCAGUUCUGGAAAACAACCAAAGUUUCUUUGAUUGAAUGCCCAUGUAAUGCAUUGGAAUAUGAUAGGCGAUUAAGGUUUAACAAUGUUAAAAUGAAGAUAUUACUAAAAUGGCCCUCUAAAUAGCCCAACAAUUAUUAUUUUCUUUGUCCUAUGGAUUUGGCUUUGAAAGAUGUGCUGCUCUUAAUAAGCUUUUCAUUCUGCCGGCCAUACUUUUUCUCCCUACUCUGGACGCCUCUAGAUGACUCCAGCUGUGCUCUCCUUCGUAAUCUACACACCCUCCUCAACCAUACCCUGGACCAGUCAUGUCCUCAUCUCAGACACGACUUUUCUGGUCUUCACACUGUGUUAGAAAUAAGGAAGGUGAUAAAGAAUGCCUGUAAGCAUUAAUUCUCUCUCUCGGGCAGAAACCUACGUGUUCCUCUUCCAGAGAGCUGGUGAAGCCAAAGGCAUUCUCAUAAUGAUGCGCUACACCGACUGACAUUUACCAACUGUGUCAAAGCUACAGGAGCCAGGUAGACACUGCUGGAACUUUAACGGGAAUCAAACAAGUCUAUAAGAAGCACUGAGCUGUGCCACUACCCAAUCAGUGUUCUUCCAGAGCACACAAACGAAAGUGGGAGGAGCCUUCCAAUGAGAACUGUUGUGUGAUUAAUCAAUGAGGCUGACUAAAGCACACACUUAUAAUCCCAAUACUCAGAAAGACAGAGGAAGAAGGAUAUCAGCGCAAGGCCAACAAGGCUUCAAAGCAAGUACCAACCCAGUAUGGACCAUGAGACCCUAUUUCAGAAACAAAUAAUAAAAGCUUGAUGAAGCUGCAAAAA